ACAGCAGGACGGUCUGUCGCUCGUAUGAUGCGAGAGGAAAGUCCGGGCAACAUAGAGCACCAUAUUUCCUAACGGGAAGCCAUUCGCGAGAGUGGAGUAGCGUAACAGAAAAUAACCGCUGCGAAAGCAGUAAGGGUGAAAAGGUGAGGUAAGAGCUCACCGGGUUUUACAGUAAUGUAGAAUGCCGUACGUCUUAUGGGUUGUAAGGUUAUGUAUACCGGCGUUGUAGGGUUGCUCGCCCGAUGCCGGGGGGUAAACCGCUAGAGCCUUGUGGUGACACAGGGUCGAGAUAAAUGACAGACACUCUUUCGAGAGUACAUAACCCGGCUUACAGGCCUGCUGUAUUU
rfam:Bacteroides sp. CAG:20 genomic scaffold, scf229